rnacentral:lncRNA from 1 species
ACCACAACCACCGCCACGACCAACAGUGACUCCCAAAUUGUGAGUUACAAUUGAGAGUCACAAUCACAAUUUUCAGGUCACGAGUCCAAUUAUUUGCUACAAAAUUAACCAAAUCGCCACAACCAACGCAAUCCACCACCACAACCACAACCAUCAUCACAAACCACUGCAAAAAUCAUUAUAAAACAAACCAUCGCCGAUUUGCAACUACAAUAACCACUAUCACCAUCAACACCAUAGUCAGCAACACUACAUUCUGUACCAAAAUUCAUAACCACUAUCUCAAAUUACACCACAAUCACCACAUUCAACAAAAAAUGCCCAAAUCACCCCGGAAAAUCAGAUCCAAAAAUAAAUGCACAACCACCGAAAAAUCAGAUCAAAAAUCAUUGUAUAACCAUUGGUUACAAACGCAAAUCUGGUCGCCCUGAUUGCAGCAACGACGUUGGCUGCUUCAAAUUGACACCGCGCCAUUGCAGUCUGUGGAUUAUUGUGGUGUUGCAGAUCAUGGCGACCAAAUGAAUGGCGACACGACACUAAUAUCGAACACCACGGCAUAGUGACCAGAUGAGUGGUAAAUAAUGUACUAACAUCGAACACCAGAUGAGUGGUAACAUUGAACACCAACACCGAUCAGUCCUCGCUGCGUGCUGCUGCCUGUUGCCGUCUAAUGAGGUGUGGAUCAGAGUUGAUGAGGGGAACGCAAGAAGGGCGAAACGGUGAGAGUGGGGUAGGUAAAGAGGGUGAGAAGAGAGAGGAGAGUGAUAAUUGAGUUUCCGG